CAAGAAUACUGCAGUGGGUAGCCUAUCCCUCCUUCAGGGGAUCUUCCCAACCCAGGAGUCGAACUGAGGUCUCCUGCAUUGCAGGCAUAUUCUUUACCAGCUGAGUUGCCAGGGAAGCUCUAGGUUCACUGUGGAAGAACUGUAAUAGUGGCUUUCUGACUUGGAAGAUUUUUUUCCCUUCAUCUUUCUCUCCUCUUCUUAAAGCCUGAGGAGCUUGAACUGAGAAGAAAAUGUCUGAUACAUUUCUGAGGACUGAUAUUACACAUGCAUGCGUCACAAGAGUGAGUGGAUGCCUGACAGGUCAAAACUCCCGAGAAGCGUUCCCCAGUCCCUGGUGGCCGUGGGGCAAUGGUGCGGCCUUGUGAUGGAGGGCAAGCCUUCCCUCUGGGCUGGGAGCUUCACUCCACCACUCUGAUUGAAAACCUGGCUUCUAGAUCCCUUUGCCCCAAAACUCAGUAUCACAAAUUUUGCAAAGAAGUAGUUUGCAAAUUACACGAAGCUGUUCUCAGAGAACAAGCUAAUGUGUUAAAGUUGCGGAUACUUAGUUGUCACUAGUUUUCUUUAAAUUCUGCAGAGAAUGUAUUUGCAUGUGGCGUGAGUGAAAAUCUGCUUCAAGUAGUAGUCUCCAAGGCAGUUUUACGUAACACACAUGGCAGCCUGGCAUGAAGGGCGGCCUUGCUGAUGGAAAGCCCAGAGCAGAGUGGUCAAGCUGCGGCUCCCUGGCUUUGAACCCUGGCUCCACUGCCUGCUGAUUUUGUGACCCUAGGCAAGCCCUUAAACGUCUCGGGGCUCAGUGUGCUUAUCUGUGGAGGCGUGGUCAGUCAUUCAGUCGUGUCCAGAUCUUCUGUUACCCCCUGGACUGUAGCCCGCCAGGCUCCUCUGUCCAUGGGGUUUCCCAGGCAAGAAUACUGGAGUGGGUUGCCAUUUCCUCCUCCAGGAGAUCCUCCCAACCCAGGGACUGAACCUGAGUCUCCUGCAUUUGCUGAGAGCCGCCAGGGUAGCUGCAUCCUCAUCUAUAGGAUGGGAAUAACCAGAGAACUGAACUUGCAGGGUUGCUGUGAGGAUCCAGUGAACAGAUCUGUGUAGGCCCUUGGUGGUGCCUAAACCAGCCCUGGGGUCAGGCCGCUGUCAACCACGGAUGAGUGAACUGGCUGAAAGAGGGUUGGGUUAACUGGACCAGAGAGAAGUGUCGCCCAGGGAAGAGGUGAAACUCGAAUGCCAGGCCUCUUGACCUCCCAUAUUGGGUCAGGUGCCCUUCCUGUAUGGGGCCACACCCCCUCCUUUCUAUAAAAGGAUCACUAAAGGGUGCACCCCCUGCCAUUGUUUAAAAGGACACGCUGAGUAAACGUUAACCAUGAAUAUCUGUGACAUGGUUUUGUUUUGUUUGGGGAGGUGGGGGCUGGGUGAUAAUGGGCCCACAGGUCUGGAGAGCAAACACUGAUUCUUUCAACUUGGGCUUGUGGGAUGUCUACAGCACAGCGAAUCAGAACAAGACCCAGACAGUCUCUAUAGCUUAAUCACAUUCUAAAUGCCCACCUUAGAAAUAGUCCCCUCUGCCUCCCCCAUUCACAGGAGUUCCCAGGGGGCAGUACCUUCUUGUUAGCAGCCACACCUGUUCGGUUCAUAUUCUCCCUGCUGUCCCCCCAGCAUGUAUUUUUGUGAUCUUUAUUCUGUUUCACUCUGCUUUUCCUUUCUCUCUUUGAAACCUCUGCAUGGGUCACCCAGGACUUCAGAGGAACUCGCAUUUAAAGCAUGGUCUGAAACAGGAACACACUGCUCAGAAGCUUUGAGAACUUCGAGCGUGUGUAUGUGCAUGACACAGUGGGAGGGGAAAUGAGCUGAUCUAACAUUCGGGUAGUUGUCUGGCCUCUAGUCAUUCACCAACUCAGUAUCAAUAAGGUUUUUUAAAUUGUAGAUAUUUAAAACUGCCCUCCAUGUAGUGUUCCUCUUCUUGAGACGUCAUACAGAGAGGGCCUCUUGACAGCGAGCAAGUUCAUGAUGAGGUCUUGGGAGUGAGGGCAGAGAAAUGACUGUUCAGUAGUAUAGUUGGUUUUAAUGAAAUCCUUAAGGAUGUUUAUUGAUGCUGUUUUUUUUUUUUAACUCAUCCUCAAUUUGAAGGUUAUAUUUACACCAUGCAAAUGGUUUCCAUACUCUUCUUUUUAAAACAUCAGUUUCGUUAAAAGUAUAAAAACAUUUCACAUUCAUGAAAAUUUCCUUCCAGAGUAUAACACACAGAUGGUUUUAUUAAAUUUUGCACAUACAUUCUUUGUGUUUAUCUUGAGUGUUCAAAAAAUGAGAAAUACAGAAGCUAGGGUAGAAAUUUCUGUGUCGCUACAUUAGAAAUUGAGGGCUUAGUGGUGCUGUAUGACAGGUAAUGUGAACACACUGGAUCUGUUUAUUUUUCUUCUUCAGUCCCAUUAGGUAGAACCUUGUGCUUUUGUCCUGCCUUCAUGAGCUCCUCCACUCCCAUGCCCCGCCAUUUUACCCAAAGAAGCACAUUAACAGCCUGAAAAUAAAGGGCAGGCUUUUUUUUAAGCUCGUCUCAGCAAAAUGUCUACUCGUCCCCUCAGAAAACGAGCUCUGACAUUUAAGAUGGGAUAAAAGCAGUUUUUCUUAGUUUGCCCAGUUGUCAAGAAACUCUUCUCUGAAGUGAUCAGGUUUGGUUAAAGACAAGAGAAAUAAAAAAGGUCAUAUUUUAGCCCUUCAUGGUUGGUUUUCAAGGGAUGCUUUGGUGCAAAAAUGACGUGGUCACUAUGAAUGUGACAGGGUGUUAGAUGCGUGUUUUUCUGCCCCCAUCACAAAUCUGAAAACGUUCCCUCUUCUUGCAGACGGUGGGGAUGGCACCCGGAGGCUAUGUGUUUGGUGUGCUCAGCGCCCGGGGUGGGGAAGAUGAUUUCCGUAUUUGAAAUCUAGAGACAAACAAAAAAAUAAUUCUUUUUCCUUGAAGGGUUAAUGCCCUAAACAGCUUCAGAUUGGUUCACUUGAAUCUUAAAAUUACUUUUCUGGUCACGCACACGGAAGGUCUAAGCAUUUGUGAAAUGUCUUUUUUUUUUUUUUUUUUUCUUUCUCCUGAUGCUGUUCUCUCUUGGCUGUCUUAAUUACACAGGGGUUGAGAAACCAAAUUAAAAUUAGGCGUGGCUGGUAAACAGCGAUCACGUUGCCUGCUUUUAGCUCCGCAGGCUUGUUGGAGUUACUUCUCCUCCCCGUAGUGUUUUCCUCCCCACUUUUUUUUUUUUUCUCCAAAGGAAAUAUCAUAAGCUUUUUUAGAAAUACUCACAGGAAGUGAGUAUCCAUAUGCUGGUUACUCGCCAGCAGCUGGGCAUUGACAGGUGGAGAAGUGCUGCUGCCAUCCGCUCAGAUUUCUUUGAACCUUUCCGCCAGAGCAGGGGAAUAUUCAGGGCGUACAGACCGAAGGAUUUUUGUGUACUGAGGGAGUUACAAGAGGAAAUUGGUCAUCGCGCGUCAUCUUGGUGGUGGUGAUUCAGGAAGCUGUGAUGGGGGGUCCGCAAGGCACGUGGCUGCCGCCGGCGCUGAGGUUUCUGCUCACUUCUCAGAGGGCGGGCUGUCUUCUAAAAAUUAACGCUCCCUCCACUGCCAGUGAUUCUUCUGCAGUGAGUCACUUCCAGAAAUGAAUAGCCACGGUUUUUUUGGAAUGAAUGUUGUGAAAUCCCUCAUUUAUAAUGGCAGGUUUUCAGUUGGUGGUUUUAUCAGAAUGUCUCAAGAUCAAAACGAAACCUCCUCUUUAAAAGGAAAGAAAGUACUCUCGAUACAGAAAGCAAAAGUACUUCCAGUCUCCUCCUGACGCGCUGUCACGGAAGAUCUGUGUGCCUGUGUGUAGAGACACGCGUCCAUGUAUUAAUACUUGCCUACACUGUAGGAGUCCUUGGAAUUACGGAUUCGUUGCUGGUAGCUGGUUGAUCUCCUGUGCAGAGGGUCGCUAACUACAAGAAAUGUUAUGUGUGGUGAGUAGGUGGUAGAUUCUGAAGAUUGUUGCUAACCCAGGACUCAUCCUCUUUUGAGUCAUGGAUUCAGAGGACUGCUAGCAAGCUCUUAAAUACUUCUGCUUUGUAUGAUUUAGUGGAUGGAACUGCAGGACUCAUAGAAGCCUGUGGAAGGUUUUUCAGAACAUGAAUUAAUUGAAUAAUUGUUGAAUCUUUUGAAUAUACUAGUCCCUUUGAGGAAGAAAGACUAUUUUACGGACGGAAGCCAUUUGUAAGGGGCUUUUAAAAGUUUAAAAAGCCCAGUUACUGCAGUUACUGCCCAUCUGUAUUUAUUUUAACUAUCAGUCCAUCUUCUUGUGUGAAGGAAAUGACUAUAUGGUUUCAACAAAGAAAAAGUUUUGCCAACUCUUUUUAACUGAAGAAACUUCAUCCACGUGUUACUCCUAACUGGAUUUUUGUCUUCCUGACUAUUCGCAAGGGGAAACUACCCCAUGAAGGAUACUGACCCUUCUGGCAGUAUCUGAUGUGUCUCAUUCAGAACCUGGUGGGCUCUCCACAGAUGAUUGACAGUAAUUUUAUCUAGAGGGGAAAGAGAAGGAAUCCGGUUACUGGAAACAGUGAGUGCAGCUUCAGAAAUUGUUGUCUCUCCCGAGUGGAGAAGUUGCUUGACCUACUGACUCAUUUCAUAGGAAUUGGGGAAAACAACCUAGUGUGGUUUUCAUUGUUAGUCCUGGAGGAUUCCAAAAUCUGUGUGUCUGCAAAUAAGAUGAGCUGGAGAAAGGUAGUGUUGACACUUGCUGUUUCUACUUGCCUGCUCUCCUAAUGGAAUUCAGUCCCUUGCCUCCAGACAAGUCCAGCCUGUUCCUGGGGAUCCCUUUUGUGGCCGUUCAAUGGUUCCAGCACUAGUCUCAGAAGAUCCCCGAGGCCCCUUCACUGCCCCAGCCUGCGUCUCUACCUGUGCUCCUCUGUCUCCCUCAUCUGCUCACCUGCUAACACCUGGGCCUUCUGAAGAGUCCUCUCAGGUAUCUCCUCCUCCAGGGAGCCCUCUGCCUUAGAUUAGAGGAUGUGAUGUGACGUGGUAAGAGGGAGGAGGGAAGUGGGGGAAACGUGAGCACACUUUGUUAGAACCAGUCUGUUCUUCCUCUCCCACAAGAUGCAAGCUACCUGAGGGGGAGACUUUCUCUCUGUGUCACCAUGUCUGGCUGUCACUGUUGUCACCACGUGCAGAAGGAAUAAGGGGAGGCAGAAUAAAAGCAGGCAAAGACUCAGGUCAGUGACGAUUCCUCCUGGGCCUGGUGGAGUUUGGGAAAGAGCUCGACUAAGCUCCAGGCCGAGAGUGAAGGCGCAGCAGUCAGGGCGGAUGGAAGGAGGUCUCGCCUCCCAGAGCAGCUGGCUAAGCUCUCCUUCCUGCCCGCCUUCCCGAUUCCACAGCAGGACCCGCCCACCUGUACUGCACACCCUUUCUGACACGUACCCUGAGUACUAUCCAGAGUCUAGGACUCAAGAAUUAUUUCCUGAUGGACUUAAUUACUUAUUUAGCAGGCGAUGUGGCAAAAGCACAUCCUGGAGUGUCUGUUAAAUCAACUGUACUUCAAUUAAAAAAAAAAGACCAGGGAAGGAAAGAAAAAAACAAAAAGACGUGUGUUACUGUCUCUCUGUGGGUAUGAGGCGUUGCGCUGGCCACUGUGGGCCAUCAGAGGGAAGGCCUUCUUCUGGGCCUGCAUGGGGCUGACUGUCCAGCUGGGGAGAAAGCAGAGCAUGCAGGCCACAUGGGGGAUGAGAUAGCUGGGGUGACCAUGUCACAAGGCAGCAUGUGAUUAAUUGCCAAAUGGCUCAAGAAUGUGGUAGUGAUUGAACAUGGUAACAUAUGUCCAAGUGCCCCACCCCUCAGCACUUCUGAGCCCAGCAGGCCCUGCCCUCUGCCCCCCUCACCCAGGAGAAACCCCGUCGAUGCAUCUCAUACAGCAUAGGUACUCAGUCAGUCAGGCCAAGUCCUUCAAGUUCAGAUCCCGUCCCGCCUCCCAGCCCCCAGCGCCCCCUGCCCUUGAACCCAAAGAUGCAGAGAUGCUCAAGAGAACGUGCCAUCUUGUUUCUGUACAACCCACUUCCCUCCCUUGUCCAUCCUUUAAAACCCUCCUCUUCCUUUAAAACCCAGCCUAGAGUUCCUCCUUAAAGCCUGCUGAGCCUGCAGAGCUCCUUGCACACGCUGGAUGGUGAUGCUCACGUGAAUCUGUCCUGCAGCAGGAGGAGGGAGGGAGGGAGGGAGGUAAACUGCCGCAGGGUCCUAGAGAGACUGAGUACACAUCGGUUGGUUUUGCAGUUGAGACCUAAGUGCAGGUGAGUGCAGAAGGUGACCUGUCCAGGUGGUUGAGGGAGGCUGCGUAAAGGAGGGAAGGUUGAACUGGACGUUAAAGGUUCAGUUCAGAGAACAGGCAGACAACGAGGAGAAUCCGAGGUGGACUAGCUCUGUGUCUGACUGCUGGCAGCCCAAUCGGCCUCUCAAAACAGAAACACAGAGGAGAGGGAGCAAGCCCUGCAGAGCAGAGUGGCGGGGCGCAGCUUCUUUUAGCUGGAGCAGAGGGUUUACCUGAAGGAAGUCAGGAGGAUGCCCUGGAGGAGGGAUGGACGUAGGUGAUGGAAGGUGAUGGAAAGACCUCAAAUGCAGUGGGGGUAUCUUGCAGGUGGUGGGCACCCUUUAUUACUGGUGAAAACCAUGGCAAUCUGAUCAAAGUGGUGUUGAAAGUGGGAGCCGCCCCAUGGCCCUGCCUUCAUUUUAACACCAUGGCCCAAGGCCCACCAUCUCAGUGGAGACUGAGAUGCUCAGCACCCAGGCGCAAAGCCCCUCCACACACACAGCCUCACCUGGAAAUGCUGGACUUUAUGUAAACAAAGGCUCUGCUUCCGGCACUGCCCUUGACCUGGCUCUGAGCUGUUGAUUCUUUGAGUCCAUUCAGCUCUGCCCUGUCCCCUCGUGACUGGCAGUGACCCGGAAGGUGGCAGCACCCCCGAAGCAGGUGGCCUCCAGAGCUGAGUCACCGCCCUGGGAACAGUGCCCUGGCGAGGCCAGCCCGCGCAAACCGGGAGGUCUCCACCUCGCCCGGCUCUGCAAGGCUCUCAGGGCACCGUCGGUGCUGCCGAGAAAGGGAUCCUUUAUGCAUCCCGAGUGUCAAGCUGAUAGGAAAAGGGAAACAGAGGCCACGGAAGACCAAAAAGGAAACUGUCCUGAUGGUCGUUUCUGGCUGGUGUCUUUGGCAAAGUGCAAAGGGUUUUUCUCAACAGUUACAGGGGCUGUGGUUGUUUUAAUUGAACAGACACAAAUUAUCCAUUGAUGGGGUAUCUUUAAGAAUGGAAUGAAGAGGAUUUGAAAAUGUUGGUUUAAGAUUCUGUUUGACCUUGUAAAGUAAGAGAGCUCAAGGAAUAAAAUUACAUGGAGUGAUAGGAUACCUAAGCUGCCAGUAUCCUCAGAAAUGAGCAAAUGGGGUUUAAGGUUUGUUUUUUUUAAUAUCAUUUUUUUUUCUAUCAUUCAUAGAUACUCUGGUGGAUGUUGUUUUUAAAAAUUAUGGUGCUUUCAUUUCAUCCCAGAGAAGAUAAAAAUGCAGUGUUACUCUUGAAAGGAAGGGUUUUUUGUUUUUUUGGUUUUUUUUAGUCUGACUUGUUUACUACACCAAUGAAUAGAGAUGACCUCAGUCUAAAAAAAACAAGUUAACCAUAAUCUCACUCCUUGCCUGGCAAAAUAAGCCUUUAUCAAGUAGCAAGAGAAGUGCAAGUCUGACCACCAAGUCGUCAUCUCAGCUGAUUAGAUUUUCCAAAGGACAGAAACAGAAGGCUCUCUACACGUUCACAACCGGACAACGGCUCUUGGGAAACACUCCCAGCUUACUCAGUUCCUAUAAGGCCAUGACAAGUCUGGUGACAAUUAAUCAGACAGCUGACCGAAUGCAAAAGCUCUACACGGUUAACUGUGUUGUGACCACUGUGAGCUUUCACAGUCGGAGACCACAUCUCUGGCUUUCUGAGUAUGCAGUUCUUUAACUUAAAAAGCUUAAUUUUUUACACUUCACACAUCAUGAGCCUAGUUAUUCUCCACUGCUGAAGUGUCCCUGGAGGCAGAAUCCCAGUCAUUUCCUUGGGCAGACUGUCUUGAGCACUGGGUGUAUCUCCUUGCUCUGACAACCCUGGGACAGUUUUCAGCAAGGCCACGGAACUCACUGCUUAGUUGCCAAAGAUGCUGUGAGCUGUGACUAGGAAGUUGGGUUUUCUCUGCUAUUGUUUUACUUUCUGUGAGCCACACAAAAAAAUAUGGACAGUCAAAAGUGUUCCCAGUUUCUGUGAGGCAAGAAGAACUGCGGCGAAUUCUACUAGAAGCCAGAGCCAUGUCCUGAUUCCUACAGCCUCAAUAAAGGCCAAAUCAAAACAGAUUUGAAAGCUAGCGGCCAGUUGAUUGUAGGAUCUAUUCCAGCCAAAAAGAAUCUCUAGACUCACUGGGCUGGGGCAUGUGGUUUAGAGGGAGGAUUUUUUAAUAAGAGCGCAGCUUUUUAUUCUUUAUUUUUUGACUAGUCUGGAGGGAGAACCAUUAUGCUUUGUGGGUAGAGACUGCAAAAAAAAAAAAAAAAAAAAAAAGCAGUGACUUUCUGGUGACUAUACAGAAAGAUUAAUGGGCACUGGCCCUGAGUUCAGCCUGCCCGCCCUUAAGGAAGCCAGCACAGGUACCAGCCUGGAGCAGCAGAGUCAGAAGGCUCCAUAGAAGCACUCAGGGCCCGAGGAGUUAAAAAGGCAGAGACAGCCAGUCAGCAAGUGCCCGCCUAGGCACGGAUUUGUUUAUCCUGCCCUUCUGAAGUCAGAGCCAACAUUCUUCAUGGUUUUGGAUGAUUCAGAAUGCUUCUCUCUUGGCAGAGCCACUUUCCACACAGGGGCUUACGACUGAAGCCCCUUAGGUGUGGACCAGAGCAGAGACCCACCUCACACUUGAUGUCACAGCUUAGAAUCCUCUUAUAUUAGAGCAGCAGGGAAACUGUCACAUACAGCUGCCUGUCUCAGAGGUGAAGACUGAACCCAGGGCCUGGGGCCUGCCAGAGGUCACUGCGCGGGAAGGCAAGGCCAGCAAGAGCCAGGCCAUCCUUCUCCAACCACACAGCUCCCGUCCAAGCCCGGUGGGGGAAGCCUCUGCCCUUUGAGGAAUGCUUAGAAAAGGGCUUAGGUCAGAAGGAAGAACCUCAUUUUUACAAAAUGAAACAAAUCAGUCAUUUACUUGUCACAGGCAGCUUUCCCUAAACCUCCUCUGUCCACGUGGUGAAUUUAUUAUCUCCUGGACUUCCAAAAAUAAAAAUAAUAGCAUUGCUGUCUAUGGGCCAAAAUGGGAGACUUGAAUAUACCCGCCACUGCCCCCCCGCCACUUCUCUUUUCCUUUUUCUGGAUGAGAAUUAACUUAUUUCACGGCUAGUUCUUAAUAAAACAAACGUUGACUCCUUCCCACAGGAGACGGAAUUGAGCAAUGUUCUCUGAGAACACGCUGUGCUCCUUGGAGCCCUGAGUGAAUGUGAUGUUUAGAAGAUGCUCUAGAAGCUUGGAAGUGCCUCUUGGGAAUAGAGUGAAGGGGGUGGAGAUGGGGUAGCGAAGCCACCGCGGCCGCCCGGGAGGAGCAGUGACUCACCCCGCCUGCUUGGCCGGGGACUUCAGGCCUCGAGACGCCCAUGGGGCAGGACUCAGUUCCCCUUGAGCCCCGAUGUGAACCAGUGACCUUUACUGGACCCACAGGCCGCCUCCACAUCCACAAGAACCACAGAGAAGGACGCAUCAGGACCCUGGCUCUCCACCAGCGGCCUCCCCGAGCCCCUAGGCAGACGAUGUCAGGGGUAUUUGUACAAGGCAACACCCCGCACCAAGAAAUGAAGCCACUUCCCUGAGGAGGAAAAGCCAAAGGAAGAUUCCCACCCGAGGCCUCCUGGGGGCAAGUGCCCCUCCUAGGUGGCCCGAAAGCAGCCGUCACAUCACGUAUCACUUUGUUAACAGCGCGGUGGUGGCGUUAACACGUCAGGAAUAUCAAUUAAGCAUGUCCGACAAGAUCUGUUCGUGGGAGGAGCUGUCCCGUAGUGCCAGUAAGUGCCACCUUCCCUCCUGCCAGGCCUGGAAUUCGGGGUGGAGGACUCAGCUUGUGUUGAGCUUCUAAGCAUGAUUUUAGGGGAUAAAUAAUAAUGCUUUCCUCUCCAUCA